ACCAGUAUAAUUCCCUAAUGGCUGCUGGAGAGAGUCCUGUUGAAACUUUAGCCACAUAUAUCAAAUCCUCACUUCUUGACAUACAUGGAGAAUUUCAGGAGACUCCAGUUGGACAUGAUGCAGUUUCCAAAACUGGAAGACAUAGUAUAGCUUCCACAAGGAAUUGUUCUUCAGAAAGUGAAAAUUGUACUACUCAUAAUGGUGGAGAAAUGACUGAAGAAUCUGAAGGAGACGUGGUCUCACUGUGUUGCCCAGUCUGGUCCUGAACUCCUGGGCUCAAGCAGUCCUCCCACUUCAGACUCCCAAGGUGCUGGGAUUACAGUUGUGAGCCACCGUGCCUGGACCUCCAAUAAUGUACUUUUUUUUGUAUCAGGAAUGUGUGAAUUAAACACACAAUUCAAUUAAAUUCAUGUUGUAGGA
rnacentral:lncRNA from 10 species